UACGUAGGGGGCUAGCGUUGUCCGGAAUCAUUGGGCGUAAAGCGCGUGUAGGCGGUCCGGUAAGUCCGCUGUGAAAGUCGGGGGCUCAACCCUCGGAUGCCGGUGGAUACUGUCGGGCUUGAGUACGGAAGAGGAGAGUGGAAUUCCUGGUGUAGCGGUGAAAUGCGCAGAUAUCAGGAAGAACACCCGUGGCGAAGGCGGCUCUCUGGGACGUGACUGACGCUGAGACGCGAAAGCGUGGGGAGCAAACAGG
rnacentral:rRNA from 1 species